AUCCAGAUGAUGAGUCUUAAAUGGGACGAAAUGUGCAUCCUGGAU
rnacentral:hammerhead_ribozyme from 1 species